GAUGAACGCUGGCGGCGUGCCUAAUACAUGCAAGUCGAGCGAACAGAUGAGGAGCUUGCUCCUCUGACGUUAGCGGCGGACGGGUGAGUAACACGUGGAUAACCUACCUAUAAGACUGGGAUAACUUCGGGAAACCGGAGCUACUACCGGAUAAUCUAUUGAACCGCAUGGUUCAAUAGUGAAAUACGGUUUUGCUGUCACUUAUAGAUGGCUCCGCGCGGCAUUAGCUAGUUGGUAAGGUCACGGCUUCCCAAGGCAACGAUGCGUAGCCGACCUGAGAGGGGGAUCGGCCACACUAGAAUUGAGACGCGACCCAGACCCCUACGGGAGGCAGGAGUAGGGAAACUACCGCAAGGGGCGAAGCCGUAGCGGAGAAACGCCGCGUGGGGUACAAAGGUCUUGGGAUCGUAAAACUCUGUUAUUAGGAAAGAACAAUAGUGUAAGAAACGAGGCUCGGCUUGACGGUACCUAAUCAGAAAGCCACGGCUAACUCCGUG
rnacentral:rRNA from 1 species